UUGAGAAAUCUAUAAAAGAGAUCAUUUCUUUAGUUCCUUUCUAGAGAAGUUCUCUGAACAUAUAGAGUACCGGAAACCACAAGGAAGAAGCACAGUGUUCUCUGGCUCUUGGUGUUGCUUUGCUGCAACUGCCAUUUGCGUUGAUGAUUGGUCUUCUCAUCCUUUGGAGGAAUAAGAGGGAGUGGAUGUGGC
ensembl:snoRNA U3 Small nucleolar RNA U3